AUUGAACGCUGGCGGCAUGCCUUACACAUGCAAGUCGAACGGUAACGGGCCUUCGGGUGCCGACGAGUGGCGAACGGGUGAGUAAUGCAUCGGAACGUACCCAUCAGUGGGGGAUAACUCUCCGAAAGGAGGGCUAAUACCGCAUAUUCUGUGCGCAAGAAAGCGGGGGACCGCAAGGCCUCGCGCUGAUGGAGCGGCCGAUGUCAGAUUAGCUAGUUGGUGGGGUAAAGGCCUACCAAGGCGACGAUCUGUAGCGGGUCUGAGAGGAUGAUCCGCCACACUGGGACUGAGACACGGCCCAGACUCCUACGGGAGGCAGCAGUGGGGAAUUUUGGACAAUGGGGGCAACCCUGAUCCAGCCAUGCCGCGUGAGCGAAGAAGGCCUUCGGGUUGUAAAGCUCUUUCGGCCGGGAAGAAAUCGCAUCUCCUAAUACGGGGUGUGGAUGACGGUACCGGAAUAAGAAGCACCGGCUAACUACGUGCCAGCCGCCGCUGUAAUAC
rnacentral:rRNA from 1 species